rnacentral:rRNA from 1 species
AGCAGUCGCCGCGGUAAUACGAAGGGGGCUAGCGUUGCUCGGAAUGACUGGGCGUAAAGGGCGCGUAGGCGGCGAUCAAAGUCAGGCGUGAAAUUCCUGGGCUCAACCUGGGGGCUGCGCUUGAUACUUGGUUGCUUGAGUGGGGAAGAGGGUCGUGGAAUUCCCAGUGUAGAGGUAAAAUUCGUAGAUAUUGGGAAGAACACCGGUGGCGAAGGCGGCGACCUGGUCCUUGACUGACGCUGAGGCGCGAAAGCGUGGGGAGCAAACAGGAUUAGAUACCCCCGUAGUCCCUGUCUCUUAUAC